rnacentral:rRNA from 1 species
GGCGACCGGCGCACGGGUGAGUAACGCGUAUCCAACCUUCCGUUUACUCGGGGAUAGCCUUUCGAAAGAAAGAUUAAUACCCGAUGGUAUGGUAAGAUUGCAUGGUAAUACCAUUAAAGAUUUAUCGGUAAACGAUGGGGAUGCGUUCCAUUAGGUAGUAGGCGGGGUAACGGCCCACCUAGCCGACGAUGGAUAGGGGUUCUGAGAGGAAGGUCCCCCAC